GACGUCAUGCUGAGGAAGUUCGCUCUGGCUAAAGCAGCAGCAGCAGCGGCGCGUGUGUUGUGGGCCCCGGCCAGCUAGCUACACCUGCUUCUAACGCGGUUAAGUUUCCACGGAAAGCCCAGCGUCAGUCUUCCAACUUACAUGUACGUUAGAUAACCGACCCGUUUACAGAUAAUGGGAGCGAACAGCAGUACCCGUCGUGUCUCCUUCGAGUCCGACGAGCAUGAGAACAUAUCGGUGGUGAAGGGCAUACGGCUUUCUGAGAAUGUCAUCAACCGCAUGAGGGAACCCGACGCUCCUAAGCUCCAACGUGCCCCCUCUCCUCCACCAUCCAUGGCACCUAUACUCCUUCCUUCUCCUCUCCCGCGGCCAGUUCCUCCCCUCUUUGAUCCGAUCACCUCCUUGCCACCUCCUCCUUCUCUCGUAGAACCUGUUGCACCAUCAUCUCCUCCUCCACCGACUCCAUCUGCCAAAGAGACUCUGGCAGCUCCUCCUCCUCAACCUCCUCAGGAACAGGUAGCAGCACCCAUCAUUGCUGACGUGGUGCUUCCGUCCUCGUCACCACCGGCUUCUGCUGUCGCUGAUUAUAAGCCUGUGGUGGCACCUCCUCCCCCUGCUCCUGCUGCGGUUGAGCCAGUAAUUUUGCCAACAUCUGUCCCUCCUUCUGUUCCCAUUGCUUCCCCGGUUCUUGCUCGGUGCCCUGCUCCAGCUGCGGAGGAAGCGAUUGCCCCGCUUGCUGCUCCUCCCCUCGUAAUUGAACCCUCUCCUCUUCCCCUAAACCAAUCUGUUGCUUGUUCUCCUCCAGUAAUGGAACCCAAUGCUCCUUCAUCCGUAGCUAAACCCAUACCACCUCCUCUUCCUGUCAAGGUGACACCCGUUGUUGCUCCCCUUCUCCCUGAAGCGGAACCCCUCUCUUCCCCUCCUGUCUCUAAAUCCGUUGCCAUCCUGUCCCCACCCCUACAUCCUUCAGGGGACGCUUUGUCCCCGCAGCCUGACGAGCCAUUUUCUGCACCUCCUCUGCCCGAGUAUACCGCACCCAGUGACCCAGUUGCACCUCCUCCUCAGCCCCCAGUCGACCCAGUACCCCUUGCUCCUGCCCCUGAGCCAGUUGUAGUGCCUGAGUCAAUUGGGGAUCCACCACCACCACCUGCUGCAGCGGCCGUUGACGAAGAGGCCCUGAGGAAGAAGAUCAGCGAUGAGCUGUAUGAGACCCUGGAGCAGGAUAGGGCAAAGGCAGAGCAAGAGCUGCAGGCCUGGGUCACGGCGGAGAAGGCGCGGGUGGCGGCCCAGGCCCAGAACGAGGCCCAGUCCCAGGUGCCGGGCGAGGUGGCCAGGCUCCUGUCCGCGGAGCGGGCCGUGGCCCAGGAGAGCAUCCAGCAGGCUGUGAUGAGGGAGAGGAUCUCCACGGAGGACGAGAAACGCCGCGCUCAGCUCUUUGAGAUUGACCGGAAGGCCAAGCAGCUGGCGGCCAGAGAAGCAGACCUAAACAAGCAGGAUGCUUUCUACAGAGAGCAGGUGGCUCGGCUGGAGGAGAGGAGUGCUCAGUUCUACAAGGUCACCACGGAGAACUAUCAUAACGCCGCCGACCAAGUGAAUGCCAAGUUCAAGCGUUAUGAGGCGUAUCCUGUGUGUGCAGACGUGCAGAGCCAGAUCCUCGCCUGCUACAAGGAGAACGUUGGAAAGACCCUCAACUGCUCCAACAUCGCGGCCCUCUACCUGCAGUGUGUCAACAACGCCAAACAGAACAACAAAUGUGUGCAUGCACCCCCCAUGGACAGAUGAUAUGGCGAGGAGAGACCCCUGCUUGUGGUUUCAGAGGGUGUUGUUUGCUCGGUUCAAAAGAGCAAGUUGAGGACCGGGGGUUAAAGAAGAGCGAUCGGAACAAAGAAAGCGAACCGAAGAGUUUAUUGUGUGGGAUUACUUAUUAUCGACCGACCGACGGACAGACGAAACCCCGGAGUGGAGGAAGCGAGGAAUGAGUCAGCACCAAGACGCUCAAGCAGAACCAGACCGGACCACAGGCACCGAGCACCGCACCCUGAUAGAGAACCAGACACCCCACUCUCACCUUCCGUCUACUCCUGAGUGUGUGUGUGUGAGGAGGCGGGACACAGUCGAGCAGGAACCGACAGGAACCUGCAGGCCACAGUUUGGCCGGCUGGCUGGACGGUGAAAAGCACAAGAGAAGCUCGUACCCGUCCCCAUCUCACCUCAACCCUGCUGGGAUGAUCCCGUCAGCCCUUUAUUCCGUUGUCCAUAAUUCAUAGUUUCCCUGCUGUACACAAAUACACAUGUAUCCGUCUCUGCAUCCGUUUGUGUGAGUUUGAGUAGUGUGAAUAAUGUAGCGACCCCGAGUAUUCAUCCGCACCAACACUUGUGACGAUGUCUGAUCAGAGGAAAAAUAAAAAGACAAAACCAUGCAGGAA